AUACGGAGGACGCGAGCGUUAUCCGGAUUCAUUGGGUUUAAAGGGUGCGCAGGCGGCCAUUUAAGUCAGCGGUUAAAUCGUGGGGCUCAACCCCAUUCUGCCGUUGAUACUGGGUGGCUUGAUUGCGGUCGAGGUUGGCGGAAUUCGUUGUGUAGCGGUGAAAUGCAUAGAUAUGACGAAGAACACCGAUUGCGUAGGCAGCUGACCAGACCGCAAAUGACGCUCAUGCACGAAAGUGCGGGGAUCGAACAGGAUUAGAUACCCUGGUAGUCCGCACAGUAAACGAUGAAUACUUGUUUUCGGCGAUAUAAUGUCGGAGGCAAAGCGAAAGCGAUAAGUAUUCCACCUGGGGAGUACGCCGGCAACGGUGAAACUCAAAUGAAUUGGCGGGG
rnacentral:rRNA from 1 species